AUUGAACGCUGGCGGCAUGCCUUACACAUGCAAGUCGAACGGUAACAGGCCGCAAGGUGCUGACGAGUGGCGAACGGGUGAGUAAUGCAUCGGAACGUGCCCAGUCGUGGGGGAUAACUGCUCGAAAGAGCAGCUAAUACCGCAUACGACCUGAGGGUGAAAGCGGGGGACCGUAAGGCCUCGCGCGAUUGGAGCGGCCGAUGUCAGAUUAGCUAGUUGGUGGGGUAAAGGCCCACCAAGGCAACGAUCUGUAGUUGGUCUGAGAGGACGACCAGCCACACUGGGACUGAGACACGGCCCAGACUCCUACGGGAGGCAGCAGUGGGGAAUUUUGGACAAUGGGCGCAAGCCUGAUCCAGCAAUGCCGCGUGCAGGAAGAAGGCCUUCGGGUUGUAAACUGCUUUUGUCAGGGAAGAAAUCUUCUGGGCUAAUACCCCGGGAGGAUGACGGUACCUGAAGAAUAAGCACCGGCUAACUACGUGCCAGCCGCCGCGGUAA
rnacentral:rRNA from 1 species